GUUUUACAGCAGUGUUACCAUCAAGAGCUCUGAAUUGCAAAUUAAACUUAGGGAUUGGGAAGAGUAUUAUAAUAAACACCGCCCUCAUAGCGCUCUUCAAGGAAAAACUCCUUGGGAAAAAUAUAAGGAACUGGAAAAUACGAUUCCUUGCUUAAGUGAAAAACUAUAUCUUAUCAAAAGAGUCGUUUGUCAUGCAAAAUUAUAAACACAAUCAGAAACUACAAUCACUUCAAAAAUCCAAAUCUCUUAACAAGCCAACUAGUUCAGACUCAAUCUGACAAGUCAAUUGUAAUAACCUCUAUGAAUUACACAGAUAA